GUGCCUUUAGCUCAGCUGGAUAGAGCAACUGCCUUCUAAGCAGUAGGUCAGGGGUUCGAGUCCCUUAAGGCACGCCA
rnacentral:tRNA from 2 species